UUGUAAUAAAAGAACCUAGCCAAGACAUAAUGUGAAAUUACGAAUUUGCCCUUUCAAGUUUUGUCUUCCAAUUUCUUCUUCCAUGUGUUGAGGUGUGGGUUGUUUAGGUAUUCUACAAUAUUGGGGUAUUUUAGACUUUUCCAACUGUACUCUGCCUUUUUUUUUUCCGGCCAUCAUCCAUAUUUCUUGUUUCUUUGUCAGCAAGGUAGUACUGUUGUAGCAGCGAUCCUACCUCAUCAAAGCACUGUUGUAGCGGCUAGCACUGUUGUAGCGGCUGUUGCCGUCCUUCAAUGUUAUAUAUGAUUUAUGUCGAAAUUCUCUACAGCAUCUUGCCAAUGUUAGGGUUCUUUUCCUCUCAUUGUGUUCUUUGCAAUUUGCUUGAUCUCACAAUCAAAACCCAGCCAUUGUAACUGGACGAGAUUCACCAUGAAUUUCUCUGAUCAUCUUUUUCCCAAUAGGUAUGAUACAUUCUUCAUGUCUGUUAACGAUUUUGUUCUGGGUUAAUCGAAUUUAUUCUUUCAUUCGGCAACCACUUCUCGACGUCGUCUCGUCACCCGCUUCUACACUGCCCCAGACGUUGCCGAUCGCUUCCGAGUCGGCUUCCUCCGAUAUCUCCCUCCCUGAAUUGGUAAAUCUUUUGUGGACCCUACUCGAUGAAUCAAACUUCAAGUAUCUCAAGUUGCAAUGACUUGGAAAGACAAUGAAGAUACUUUAGAUUUAAGAGAACGCGAUAUAUUGGUGCAAAAACAUGAUGGCCACAGUGAAAGGAUCAAAUAUUACUACAGAUGUUACGAUUCCUUACAAUAUCUGAUGCUAUUUCCUUUUGGAGAGCCCGGCUGGCAUCGGGGCAUUGAAUGUGUUAACCGUAGUAACUGGCCUCCAAACAAGGGUCAACAAAGACCAGUUUUUCCACAUAAUUGUUCAACAGUGGAAGAAUUAUUAAAUGCUGAAUCUUUGGUCUUUGUUAUUUGUUGCCAGCUUGCGGCCUACUCCUGCAUAGGCGACUGCAGUAAGUUGGGUUUUAAAGCAUGGUGUGCAGCAUGUAGUAAAGCUCAUAUGUAGCAAUUUGGGUGUAAUAAUGGAUUCAGAGCCCAAACAUUGGAGAAUUCUGGCUGACGUGCUUUACGACUUAGGAACUGGUUUGGAAGUUCUUUCCCACUUGUGCCUACACCUAUUUCUUGAAAUGGCAGCCCAUGAAAAUUUUGCAAAGGUAUGAGAGACAACUCGCAACCUCCUACAAUAAAAAUUCAUUUGCUCAUUGUCAAAAUGAAUACUCAAUCCUAACAUUUCUCGUAUGGAGGAAUGGGCCCAACCUUGUCUCAGUCCUCUCAGAAAUAAUGCGAAAUCUCAUGUGAGAUGCUGCCAAAGAGCCAUUAUAUCGCAGGGACGACCCAAAGUAUUUUUCUUCAGACAAAUGUACAUGGUCAUUGAUGUUACAGAAAGAUAUCAUCAAUGGUGAGAUUUCAGUUUGUACCCUCAAGAAUCGCUUCGCUUUAAUUCUGUAAGAUUUUCAGUGGAGUCAUUAUGGAAGAAGCAUUAUUCACCCAAUCACCCUGAUUAAACUUGUAUGCAAACCUUGUCGUUCGUAGAUUAUAAGUAAACGACAUAAAGCACGUUUUCUGUGUAUUGUGUAUUUUUCACUGGUACAAAUGGUCUUGGAGAUAUAGCUUAUUGAUAUGUCUUGAAUAAUGAGCUACUCUUAUGCUAUGACAUCUCUUUCAACUCCUAAUCUGUGGAGGGCUAAGAGAUAUUUGGUUUUUGCUGCUAAAAUAUUGGUAUUUCUGAUCACUCUUUCAACUCCAACUAUUAGAGGGCUAAGAGUUUGGAUACCGGCUGCUGCUCUCAAGAUUCAAACUGUUUGUGGCUGUUUUGUUUGCUCGAUUGGUUGGUUUUGAUCCAUUUCUGCUUUCAUUAGUAACUGAUGGUUUCUGUUUGCAAUAUGAAAUCUCCUUGCCUCUUAUCAACUCCUAUUUAGGGAGGGCUAAGAGAUACUAAUAGAUAAAUUGAAAUAUGCUUGUGAAUACUACGGAUCUUGAUGUUGGAGACUGAGAAUCUUGAUGGUUGUUGGUUUUUUCCAUCUUGCUGUUUGAAGAUUGAGGAUCUUGACGAUGCUGGAUGUCCAGCCAUGAUGUUGAAUGAUGCUGAUGAGGUUUGAUGGCAGAUUGAUGGAGAGGUUAUGGGGGUAGACCUCACAAAUAAGUUUCAAUAGAUCCCCUGCUUACCUUGGAUACUGAUCUAUUAAAAUGGAAGGAAAAUUGGAUGCAAAUACACGGGAAAUGUUUACUUGCAAUUGAUAUCUUUGGAUAGUGUUGUUCCUAGCUUUGUUGUCUCUUCUCAACUUCCGUUGGAAACAAACCCCCCACACCCCCCCCCCCCCCCCC